GUGGGGAAUAUUGGACAAUGGGCGAAAGCCUGAUCCAGCCAUGCCGCGUGUGUGAAGAAGGUCUUCGGAUUGUAAAGCACUUUAAGUUGGGAGGAAGGGCAUUAACCUAAUACGUUAGUGUUUUGACGUUACCGACAGAAUAAGCACCGGCUAACUUCGUGCCAGCAGCCGCGGUAAUACGAAGGGUGCAAGCGUUAAUCGGAAUUACUGGGCGUAAAGCGCGCGUAGGUGGUUCGUUAAGUUGGAUGUGAAAGCCCCGGGCUCAACCUGGGAACUGCAUCCAAAACUGGCGAGCUAGAGUACGGUAGAGGGUGGUUGAAUUUCCUGUGUAGCGGUGAAAUGCGUAGAUAUAGGAAGGAACACCAGUGGCGAAGGCGACCACCUGGACUGAUACUUACACUGAGGUGCGAAAGCGUGGGGAGCAAACAGGAUUAGAUACCCCGGUAGUCC
rnacentral:rRNA from 1 species